CAAAGAUAUGGACACACACACACACACACACACACACACGCAGGUACAGGAAAUACGGCCAGUCUAGAGCCUUUUCGGACCCAAGCUGACCGGAAGAUGUUGCCUUUCAUUCAUUCAUCCUGCCCGCGUCUGUGGAGUCCUUUACUAGGCGACAAGCCCUGGAACAGAAGUUGGACAGUUUUUAAAGGUCCCUGCGCUCGCCAAGAGAAGGAAAUAGAUGCUCAGGAGUGAAAUACCGAGAGAAUCGGAUCUGGCGCCUCCUAACGCAGCUGGCAAGCAGGCGAAGGAACUUAACUCACCUACCAGACUAUAUAUAACUCAGAGUCUGAUUGGCACUGUGUCUCUACAAUCAACCUUCUGGAAAUAUCUGUGAAAUGAAUGAAGGAACCUGAGAAAAUGAAGUAUUGGAAUGAUGAGCCAGGGGAAGGGGACCAGGGAUGGCUGCAAAGGUUUCCUAGAAGGGGCCAUCUGAUACAAUGUGAACAUUUGGAAUUAGCCCUUAGACCACUCACUCUGAGUGUCUGCCAAUAGCAUGGCACUGUAGGCACCUUGGAAUGCCAGUUGGGACAUCCAGUCCAAAAUAAGAUUGUCCCACCUGCCCAGACCUGACAAAUACACUUCUCAAGGACAGAUAAUUGGUGAAGGGGCAGGAAGCCUUAGAAAUGGGUAACCACUUCCUGAUAUAUAUCCUGCUGAUAGAUACAAAAACAAACAUGCAAUCCAUGGUAGCCCUGUUUGCAACAGAAAAAGACUGAAACUAUCUAAAAGUUGGAGAACUGAUUAAAAAUAAUUUUUGGACCAUUUGCUCAUUGAAACGUUAUUAAAUCAUCAAGAAGAAGAAUAUGGUAAUUGUAUAAAUAAUGAAGCAGGAUGAUUUCAUGAUAUCCUUAAAUUAACACAAAACAGAACAAGAUGUAGAAUAUUUAUACUAAAUUGUGCUGACCAGGGCAGCCUCGUUGGCUCAGUGGUUUAAGCACCCAGGGCGUGAUCCUGGAGUCCCUGGAUCGAGUCCCACGUCGGGCUCCCUGCAUGGAGCCCGCUUCUCCCUCUGCCUGUGUCUCUGCCUCCCUCUCUCUCUCUCUCUGUGUCUAUCAUGA
rnacentral:lncRNA from 1 species